CGUCUAGGCGGUCCAGUAAGUCCUGCGUGAAAGCUCCCGGCUCAACUGGGAGAGCGCGUGGGAGACUGUUGGGCUAGAGACUCGGAGAGGGGUGUGGAAUUCCCGGUGGAGUGGUGAAAUGCGUUGAGAUCGGGAGGAACACCAGUGGCGAAGGCGGCACCCUGGCCGAGUUCUGACGCUGAAGCGCGACAGCGUGGGAGCAAACG
rnacentral:rRNA from 1 species